rnacentral:rRNA from 1 species
AAUAGAUACCCGGGUAGUCCACGCCGUAAACGAUGCCGACUCGGUAUCCGUGGGGCGAAUAGCCUCGGGGGUGCCCCAGCUCACGCGGUAAGUCGGCCGCCUGGGGAGUACGGCCGCAAGGUUAAAACUCAAAGAAAUUGACGGGGACCCGCACAAGCGGUGGAGCAUGUGGUUUAAUUCGACGCAACGCGAAGAACCUUACCUAGGCUUGACAUGCAUGGGAAAGCCCUGAGAAACCAGGGCCCCUCUUCGGAGUCCAUGCACAGGUGCUGCAUGGCUGUCGUCAGCUCGUGUCGUGAGAUGUUGGGUUAAGUCCCGCAACGAGCGCAACCCUCGUCUUUAGUUGCUACCAUUUAGUUGGGCACUCUAAAGAAACUGCCGGUGAUAAGCCGGAGGAAGGUGGGGAUGACGUCAAGUCCUCAUGGCCCUUACGCGCUGGGCUACACACGUGCUACAAUGGCGGUGACAGAGGGCUGCAAACCCGCGAGGGUGAGCUAAUCUCCAAAAGCCGUCUCAGUUCGGAUUGUUCUCUGCAA